AAAAAUGGCAAAAGCUAUUUUUUAAAAAUUUUUUGAUAAAGAUCAAACGAAGAUCUCUCUUCCUUUUCUCAGUGGCGAAGAUUUGGCUCAGUAUCUUCCCUCUACUUGUAUUUUUAGUGCAGAAUGGAUGAUGGAUGAUGGUAAUAAGAAGUGGUCGGUUCGAAAACCGCCUCUCCCUGUGGAUCGGCUGCGGUCUAAUGAAAUAAUGGUAAAUCACAUGGUGAUGGCCUUGUUGUCACAGAUCGAGGAAGUGCACAAGGUGAAGGGAAAGUGGUGCCAUAACUAUACAAAGGCUUUGGCUCUAUAUAUCUUAACCAAUCUUGAUUCUUGGAGGCCAUCCAAAAAGAAGAAGAAGAAGCCUGAUACAUCGUUUGGCAAAUCUCCAUUGCAUGCAAUUGCUAGAUCCUUCGUAGUAGUGGUCAUGAAUGCAUUGAAGGUGAAGGGUCAGUGGUCUAAUGAGCAUAAUGAUGGUCUCAUUCAAUUAGCCAUAGCCAAGCUCAGAUCAUCAUCUUCUUCUGACUCAUCCAAUAACAUUAACAUUAACAACAACAAUAGCCCUCUUGCUCUUCCCUCAUAACUAUUAUGUUAUGGUAUUGUCUUCUUCUGCUUGCUUGUCUUUUAAACUUAGCUACUAUUGUUAACUCAGGAGUAUAGUUAUUGUUAACCUUAUCUUUAGCAAUGUAUGAUGGUGGGAAUUAUUUUCUAUUGAUCAAUGAUAGUAUUGUUAUUGGGAUGUUCUACUUUA